ACGGUCCUAAGGUAGCGAAAUUCCUUGUCGGGUAAGUUCCGACCCGCACGAAAGGCGUAAUGAUUUGAGCGCUGUCUCGACAAUGCAUCCGGUGAAAUUGAAGUACCAGUGAAGAUGCUGGUUACCCGCGCCAGGACGGAAAGACCCCAUGGAGCUUUACUCCAGUUUGAUACUGGGAUUCGGUACUGCAUGUACAGGAUAGGUGGGAGACGAAGAAGGAUGGACGCCAGUCUGUCCGGAGUCGCUGUUGGGAUACCACCCCUGUAGUACUGGGUUUCUAACCAGUUGCCAUGAACUGGCAAUGGGACAAUGUCAGGCGGGGAGUUUGACUGGGGCGGUCGCCUCCGAAAGGGUAUCGGAGGCGCUCAAAGGUUCCCUCAGAAUGGUUGGAAACCAUUUGAAGAGUGCAAAGGCAGAAGGGAGCUUGACUGCGACACCGACGGGUGGAGCAGGUACGAAAGUAGGACUUAGUGAUCCGGUGGUAUAAAGUGGGAUUGCCAUCGCUCAACGGAUAAAAGCUACCCUGGGGAUAACAGGCUUAUCACUCCCAAGAGUUCACAUCGACGGAGUGGUUUGGCACCUCGAUGUCGGCUCAUCGCAUCCUGGGGCUGUAGUAGGUCCCAAGGGUUGGGCUGUUCGCCCAUUAAAGCGGUACGCGAGCUGGGUUCAGAACGUCGUGAGACAGUUCGGUCCCUAUCUGUUGUGGGCGAAGGAGAUCUGCGGAGAGCUGUCCUCAGUACGAGAGGACCGGGAUGGACCUACCGCUGGUGCACCGGUUGUUCCGCCAGGGGCAUAGCCGGGUAGCUAAGUAGGGAAAGGAUAAGCGCUGAAAGCAUCUAAGCACGAAGCCUACUCCAAGAUGAGAUCUCCCAUUCGCAAGAAGUAAGACCCCUUAAAGACGAUAAGGUAGAUAGGCCAGGGAUGGAAGUGCAGUGAUGUACGGAGUUGACUGGUACUAAUCGGUCGAGGACUUAAUCAG
rnacentral:rRNA from 1 species